rnacentral:rRNA from 1 species
CUGGCGGCGUGCCUAAUACAUGCAAGUCGAACGGCUUUUCUAUGGAAGCUUGCUUCCACUGAGAAGAUAGUGGCGAACGGGUGAGUAACACGUGGGUAACCUGCCCAUAAGAGGGGGGAUAACAUCCGGAAACGGGUGCUAAUACCGCAUAGUUUUCUUGAUCGCAUGAUCGGGAAAGGAAAGACGGCCUUUGUGCUGUCGCUUAUGGAUGGACCCGCGGCGUAUUAGUUAGUUGGUGAGGUAAUGGCUCACCAAGACGAUGAUACGUAGCCGACCUGAGAGGGUGAUCGGCCACAUUGGGACUGAGACACGGCCCAAACUCCUACGGGAGGCAGCAGUAGGGAAUCUUCCGCAAUGGACGAAAGUCUGACGGAGCAACGCCGCGUGAGUGAAGAAAAGGUUUUCGGAUCGUAAAACUCUGUUGUCAGAGAAGAACAAGUUGGAGAGUAACUGCUCCAGCCUUGACGGUAUCUGACCAGAAAGCCACGGCUAACUACGUGCCAGCCGCUGC